rnacentral:rRNA from 1 species
AAUAAACGCUGGCGGCGUGCCUAACACAUGCAAGUCGAGCGAGAAAGCUCCUUCGGGAGUUAGUAAAGCGGCGAACGGGUGAGCAACACGUGAGAAUCUACCCUUUAGUGAAGAAUACCCUCGAGAAAUCGAGGCUAAUACUGCAUACGUCCCUUCGGGGAGAAAGAUGGCCUCUUUGCUAUCGCUAAAGGAUGAGCUUGCGUACUAUUAGCUAGUUGGCGGGGUAAAGGCCCACCAAGGCAAUGAUGGUUAAACCGGCCUGAGAGGGUGUACGGUCACACUGGAACUUAGACACGGUCCAGACUCCUACGGGAGGCAGCAGUGAGGAAUCUUGCGCAAUGGGCGAAAGCCUGACGCAGCGACGCCGCGUGGAGGAUGACGGUUUUCGGAUUGUAAACUCCUGUUAAGCGGGAAGAAAGCCUUGUUUCUAAUACAAGCAAGGUAUGACGGUACCGCUAGAGAAAGCACCGGCUAACUUCGUGCCAGCAGCCGCGGUAAAGA